rnacentral:rRNA from 1 species
AUACGUAGGUGGCAAGCGUUGUCCGGAAUUAUUGGGCGUAAAGCGCAUGUAGGCGCUUUGGUAAGUCGGUCGUGAAAAUGCGGUGCUUAACGCCGUAUGGCGAUUGAAACUGCUGAACUUGAGUGCAGGAGAGGAAAGGGGAACUCCCAGUGUAGCGGUGAAAUGCGUAGAUAUUGGGAAGAACACCGGUGGCGAAGGCGCCUUUCUGGACUGUGUCUGACGCUCAGAUGCGAAAGCCAGGGUAGCGAACGGGAUUAGAUACCCCGGUAGUCCUGGCCGUAAACGAUGGGUACUAGGUGUGGGAGGUAUCGACUCCUUCCGUGCCGGAGUUAACGCAAUAAGUACCCCGCCUGGGGAGUACGGCCGCAAGGCUUAAACUCAAAUGAAUUGACGGGG